UACGGAGGGAGCUAGCGUUGUUCGGAAUUACUGGGCGUAAAGCGCGCGUAGGCGGCUUUGUAAGUUAGAGGUGAAAGCCCGGAGCUCAACUCCGGAACUGCCUUUAAAACUGCAUCGCUUGAAUCCAGGAGAGGUGAGUGGAAUUCCGAGUGUAGAGGUGAAAUUCGUAGAUAUUCGGAAGAACACCAGUGGCGAAGGCGGCUCGCUGGGACGGUACUGACGCUGAGGCGCGAAAGCGUGGGGAGCAAACAGG
rnacentral:rRNA from 1 species